rnacentral:rRNA from 1 species
CCUACGGGUGGCAGCAGUGAGGAAUAUUGGUCAAUGGGCGAGAGCCUGAACCAGCCAAGCCGCGUGAGGGAAGACGGUCCUACGUAUUGUAAACCUCUUUUGUCAGGGAGCAAGGGCGGGGACUAGUGCUGCGGUGAGGGUACCUGAAGAGAAAGCAUCGGCUAAAUCCGUGCCAGCAGCCGCGGUAAUACGGGGGAUGCGAGCGUUAUCCGGAUUUGUGGGGUUUAAGGGGUGCGCAGGCGGACUGUUAAGUCAGCGGUAAAAGCCCGGGGCUCAACCCCGGCGAGCCGUUGAAACUGGCGGGCUGGAGUGGGCGAGAAGUACGCGGAAUGCGCGGUGUAGCGGUGAAAUGCUUAGAUAUCGCGCAGAACCCCGAUUGCGAAGGCAGCGGACCGGCGCCAAACUGACGCUGAGGCACGAAAGCGUGGGUAUCGAACAGGAUUAGAUACCCCGGUAGUC